rnacentral:lncRNA from 1 species
UUAUUUAAGGAGGUACAUCAAAGGCAGAGAUAAGGUUCCAAGGGCGGAGUCUUGCUUCAUAAUGUCUUUUAGUCAGCAGGCUGAUUGGCAUCUUGGCAGCUCACGCCCAUCUCAGAUGCUGUGUGGGUCUCGACAGAUCGGGAUAGAAAUUCACAAUGUCCCUGGUCAAUUGACUAGAGAAAAUGUCCACUGAUCAUUUCCAGACACCAGAUGUUUCUAUCCACUAGGCUUCCAUGCAUGGUGACCCACAUGGAACCCAUGGAUGGGCUUACAACGGUGUGUGUGUGUGUGGGGGGGGUGUUAGACCAGGACGCAAGAAAAGACCACUGACUCCAAUUAAAAUCAAAUUAAAGCAAGCUUAUUAUUUCGACUGGCCAGGCUGCCUCUCCCACCCAAAACCUCGGGAACAAGACAACAGCCGCAGCUUUCCUGCAGCCCAGCUUUAUAGCCCAGAAAGUUACACAAAGGGGGGUUACAGAUAACAGAACUCUGAGGAGCAUAACACUAAUGGUAGUUUACAUUUUUGCUGGCCCCAAUAUCAGAAUUUAUGAAGGUUAUUAGAGCCUCAGAAAGGGUUGUUAUCUGGCCAGGGAAGACCAAGAUUUGUGAGGCGUUACUAAAGUUUCAGAGAGGGCUGCUAUCUGGUCAGAGAGCCAGGCAUGGGUGAGUUCAGGGCACGGGCAGGCAUUCCAAGCAGGUUCAGAAUUUGCAGUAAUUUAUAGUAAAGCCGAAAUUAUCUUUUCAUGGCUUUGUGGCAAGAUGGCUCCCAAUUUUAAGAAAAGAUCAGGUUGGGUCUAUCAGGGGGAUUGAACUGAGGGGCACUUGACCCCUGAGCCAUUUAUUUUGAGACAGGAUUUUGCUAAGUUGCCCAGAUUGGCCUCUAUCUUGCCAUCUUCCAGCCUCAGCCUCCCAAGUAGCUGGAAUUGCAGGUGUGUGCCACUGUGCAGAGCCCCAAUUCAGAAAUCAAAGUGUAUUAGCAUCUGAUGACCUUUUAUUCAUUUCCCCUGGGUAGAUGCAGGAAUAAGACUUGAAGGAAGCAUUGAAGUUUGGAAUGACUGAGUGUAUUAUCAGAUGGAGAUUGUGUUUGAGCAGAAACAGCAGUUUCUGAAACAGAAUAAAAGUUUUUCUUUCAUACAAAAACUGUGCGGCUGGGGCUAUAGCUCUGUGGUAGAGCGCUGUGCCUAGCAUGCCCAAGGCCCUGGGUUCCAUUCAUUACCUAAAUUCCAAAAACAAAAAACCCUUGAAGAUAGGCUACCUGAAGGCUAGUUUCGAGGUUUCUUGGUAUCAGUAAGAACCCAGUCUCCACAGAUUUCACUGAGAUCUCUGAAUUUGGAUAUUUUCCUAUCAACUGAGGCAUUUUGUGUGAGAGGGUGUAUAAUGCCUGAGGUUUUUUAAUGAUUGCUAUUUAUAUAUUGAGGUUCCAGUUUGUGAACUGCAUUCUCCACUCAGGAUUCCAAAUCACUAUUAUUGUCUUCAUCUCUGUUUUCAGGUGAGGACAUCGAGAUUUGGAGAUGCUAAUUAAUCCACCUGUAUUGGAGAAGUUGCCAUCAUAGUAGUUGGGAGAGGAGUAACCUGAGAUCUUUGGAUUCCUAAACCCAGUGCCUUUCCUAUUGUUAGGGUAGUCAUUAUUGCCCUCAUUUUGAUAUUCUCUGUCCUGCUUUAAAAUAGAUAGAUUCUAUUUUCCUCUCAGUUGACACUUUUGAUCCCAGAUGUAGAAUUCAUUUUUUUUUUUUUUGCUGUGCUGGAAUUCAACCCCAAGGCUUCAUGCUUGUUAAGCAGUCCUCUACCACUGAGCAAUAUUCCUAGCCCCUUUUUAAAGAUUUUGUUAUUUGGUUUCUGGUACUGGAGAUUGAACCCAGGCACCACCAGCUAUACCUUUAACUAGAUGGAAAAUUUAAACAUUAAGUGUAAAGAUUGUCUUCCCUUUUGUUUUAGUCAGCUUAUUCGCUGCUGUGACUAAAAGGACCCAACCAGAACAACUAUAGAGGAGAAGUUUAUUUAAGAGCUCACAGUUUUUAGUUCAUAAACAGCAGGCUCCAUUCCUUGGGGCUCAAGGCAGGGCAUCAUGGCUGGAAGAGUGUGACAGAGGGUAGCAGCUCACAUGCCAAUCAGGAAGCAGAGAGAGUCCACUCACCAGAUACAAAAUAUAUACCCAAAGCCAGGCCCCAAUUCCCACCUCCUCCAGCCACACCUCACCACUUCAGUUACCCCUGUUAAUCCCUAUCAGAGGAUUAAAACACUGAUUAGGUUAAGACUCUCACAACCCAAUAGUUUCUCCUCUGAAUCUUCUUGCGUCAUCUCACAUGUAUUUGGGGAACACCACAUCUAAACCAUAACACCUUCCUCACCUUGAGCCUCUUUAACAUUAAAGAUGCAGGGUCUCACUAGUAGGCUCAUUCAUCCACUGCACAAAUAUUUGAGUACCAAAAAGAGACACGUACAAUUCUAGCCCUAAGGAAAGGGCAGAGAAAGAAAACAAAGUGAUUUUCCUAGAAAGCCUGAUUUCUUGUCAAUAUUUGCAAUAAGAUGUGAUUUUAAAUUAUCAGAUUGGGGGUGGGGUAUAAAAAGUCCAAUAACACCGAAGGUCAAGGCAGAUGUGCAGUCACAGGAACCUGUAUACACUGUUCAGGGGAAUGCAAAUCAGUAAAAUGGCUUUAUAGAGAAAGUUUGAAGUAUCUAAAAAGUUAAAAUGGUCAGGUGUAGUGGCACAUGCCUAUAAUCCUAGCUACUUGAGAGACUGAGACAGAAAAAUGACAAGUUUGAGGCCAACCUGGAUAUCGAGAUCCUAUUGUCAAGAGCCAUCUGUGGGCUGUAUGUGGAUGGCAUUGCAGCCUAGUGAAUAGGAGAAUCUGGUGUCCUGGAACUUACAGUGGACAUUUUCUCUGGCUGACUGCCCAGACACAUUAUGAGCCCUAUUCAAGCUCUGCCUGAUCCCACACAGCACUGGAGAUGAAGUGACCUGCUAUAGCCAUACAGCCUCUCAGAGAUGGGUGUGACCUGCCAAGAUGCCAAUCAAUCUGUUGACUGCAAGACACCAUGAAGCAAGACCCCACCCCGAAACCUAAUCCCUGCCCUUUAAUGUACCCCCUUAAAUAAUCCAGAGGAACCAUUUUCUAAUUGUCCAGCUCCAGCUCCUGUGUGGCCUGGAUCUAUCAGGAGCUGCAAGCUUCCUCUAAUACUAUCUUUUCUGACUCUUUGUCUUUUGUUUGUCACCAGUUAUUUCUGACUUUAAAUUCUUAGGAAGCUUAUCCCUCUGAGCAGGCAAGAGUUCUGUGGCAAUGUGCUGCACCCCACCACCACCACCACCCCGCCCUUGAUACCAUAUCUCAAAAUAAAUAACAUUUCUUUAGAAAGGGCUUGGGAUGAAGCCUCAGUGAUAGAGCUUAUCUAGCAUGCUUUGGCCCUGGGUUCAAUCCUUAGUACCACAAAAUAAAUACAUUAAAUAAAGUUGAAAAAGUGUCAACCCCUG